CCUACGGGGGGCUGCAGUGGGGAAUAUUGCACAAUGGGGGAAACCCUGAUGCAGCAACGCCGCGUGAGCGAUGAAGGCCUUCGGGUCGUAAAGCUCUGUCCUAAGGGAAGAAUACUGACGGUUCCUUAGGAGGAAGCCCCGGCUAACUACGUGCCAGCAGCCGCGGUAAUACGUAGGGGGCUAGCGUUAUCCGGAAUUACUGGGCGUAAAGGGUGCGUUGGUGGCCCUUCAAGUCGGAGGUGAAAGGCUACGGCUCAACCGAAGGAAGGCCUUGGAACUGUAGGUCUUGAGUGCAGGAGAGGAGAGUGGAAUUCCUAGUGGAGCGGUGAAAUGCGUGGAUAUUGGGUGGAACACAAUUUGCGAAGGCGGCUCUCUGGACUGUACCUGACGGUGAGGCACGAAUGCGUGGGGAGCGAACAGGAUUAGAUACCCCAGUAGUC
rnacentral:rRNA from 1 species